rnacentral:rRNA from 1 species
AUUGAACGCUGGCGGCAGGCCUAACACAUGCAAGUCGAACGAGUGGCGGACGGGUGAGUAAUGUCUGGGAACCUGCCUGGUGGUGGGGGAUAACUACUGGAAACGAUAGCUAAUACCGCAUACCAUCAGAUCUGCCCAGGUGGGAUUAGCUGGUUGGUGGGGUAAAGGCUCACCAAGGCGACGAUCCCUAGCGGGUCUGAGAGGAUGACCAGCCACACUGGAACUGAGACACGGCCCAGACUCCUACGGGAGGCAGCAGUGGGGAAUAUUGCACAAUGGGCGCAAGCCUGAUGCAGCCAUGCCGCGUGUAUGAAGAAGGCCUUCGGGUUGUAAAGUACUUUCAGCGGGGAGGCGUUACCUGAAGAAGAAGCACCGGCUAACUCCGUGCCAGCAGCCGCGGUAAUAC